UUCUAUUAAAAUAAUUAAUAGUAAAAUCUGCUCAAUGAAAUUUAAAUAGCCGCUAUUAGUGCUAAGGUAGCAUAAUCAUUUGUCUUUUAAUUCAAGACUAGAACAAAAGAUUCAACAUUUCAAACCAUAUUUUUAUAAAAAUAAUUCAAUCUAUCUUAAAUGUAAUAAGACAUUUAUACAAAAGAAAGACGACAAGACCCUAUUGAACUUCACUAAAGUUUAACUGGGGCAGUUAAUAAAUUCAAAUUUUCAUAAAUCUAAUUCAACAAAACCCCAAUAACAUUGACUUAUCAAGUUACCAUAGGGAUAACAGCGCAAUAAUUUCCAAAAGAUCUUAUCCAAGAAAUCGUUUACGACCUCGAUGUUGAAUAAUAUUCUUAUAUACGCAAUAGAAUAUAAAGAAAGUCUGUUCGACUUUUAAAAAAUUACA
rnacentral:rRNA from 1 species